GACGAACGCUGGCGGCGCGCUUAACACAUGCAAGUCGAGCGAGAACCAGGGCUUCGGCCCUGGGGACAGCGGCGAACGGGUGAGUAACACGUGGGUAAUCCACCCUCGGCACCGGAAUAGCCCGGGGAAACCCGGAUUAAUGCCGGAUGGCCCGCCGGCCCUGCGGGGCUGGCGGAAAAGGUAGCUUCGGCCUCCGGCCGAGGACGAGCCCGCGACGGAUUAGCUUGUUGGUGGGGGAACGGCCUACCAAGGCUGCGAUCCGUAGCUGGUCUGGGAGGACGAUCGGCCACACUGGGACUGAGACAGGGCCCAGACUCCUACGGGAGGCAGCAUUGGGGAAUCUUGCGCAAUGGGCGAAGGCCUGACGCAGCGCCGCCGCGUGAGGGAAGAAGGCCUUCGGGUUGUAAACCUCUUUCAGGAGGGACGAAGCCACUCGGGUUAAUAGCCCAGAGGGUGACGGUACCUCCAGAAGAAGCCCCGGCUAACUACGUGCCAGCCGCCGCCGUAAUAC
rnacentral:rRNA from 1 species